GACGAACGCUGGCGGCGUGCUUAACACAUGCAAGUCGAACGGAGCGAAUGAAAGCUUGCUUUUAUAAGCUUAGUGGCAAACGGGUGAGUAACACGUAGGCAACCUGCCGACAGGAUGGGGACAACAUUCCGAAAGGAAUGCUAAUACCGAAUGAAGCGCAGGAGAGGCAUCUCUCCUGCGUGAAAGAUGGCCUCUAUAUAUAAGCUAUCACCUGUCGAUGGGCCUGCGUCUGAUUAGCUGGUAGGUGAGGUAACGGCUCACCUAGGCGACGAUCAGUAGCCGGUCUGAGAGGAUGAACGGCCACAUUGGGACUGAGACACGGCCCAGACUCCUACGGGAGGCAGCAGUGGGGAAUCUUCCGCAAUGGGCGCAAGCCUGACGGAGCAACGCCGCGUGAGUGAAGAAGGUCUUCGGAUCGUAAAGCUCUGUUGAUGGGGACGAACGUGCCUAAUGCGAAUAGUAUUAGGUAAUG
rnacentral:rRNA from 1 species